rnacentral:rRNA from 1 species
ACUCAAAUGAAUUGACGGGGGCCCGCACAAGCGGUGGAACAUGUGGUUUAAUUCGACACUACGCGAGGAACCUUACCUGGGUUUGACAUGUACUUGACCGUUGUGGAAACACGAUCUUUUGGGCUUCGGUUCAAACAAGUACACAGGUGCUGCAUGGCUGUCGUCAGCUCGUGUCGUGAGAUGUUGGGUUAAGUCCUCUAACGAGCGCAACCCCUGUCGUCAGUUGCAACUGCGUAAGCAAGGCACUCUGACGAGACUGCCUGGGAAACCAGGAGGAAGGUGGGGAUGACGUCAAGUCCUCAUGGCCCUUAUGUCCAGGGCGACACACAUGUUACAAUGGCCAGUACAAAGGGCUGCAAGCUUGUAAAAGUGAGCUAAUCCCAUAAAGCUGGUCUAAGUUCGGAUUGAGGUCUGCAACUCGACCUCAUGAAGUUGAAAUCGCUAGUAAUCGCGUAUCAGCAACGACGCGGUGAAUACGUUCUCGGGCCUUGUACACACCGCCCGU